GGACGACAGAGAACAGUGGACACACAGUUUAACAUGAUGGACUAUAGGACAGGACUGCUGCUUUUAACUCUCUGCUGGGCAGGUGUUGAUGGUCAGACUCUGACAGAAUCUGAACCAGUGGUUAAAAGGCCUGGAGAAUCUCACAGAUUGACCUGUACAGCCUCUGGAUUCACAUUCAGCAGCUACGGGAUGCACUGGGUCAGACAGGCUCCUGGAAAAGGACUGGAGUGGAUCGCUUAUAUCAGCAGUGGUGGUGGUAGCAGCCAAUCCUACUCUCAGUCAGUUCAAGGCCGGUUUACCAUCUCCAGAGACGACUCCAGCAGUAAACUCUAUCUACAGAUGAACAGUCUGAAGACCGAGGACACAGCAGUGUAUUACUGUGCCAGAAAAGACACAGUGAGAGACAAUAAUAGGAGAGUCAUACAAAAACUACUUCCUCUAUUUACCACCACCACUGGGAACACUCACUUUCUUUUCUUCAGUAUCACUUUUUUGCAAUUCUUCUGCUGA